rnacentral:rRNA from 1 species
AGAGUUUGAUCCUGGCUCAGGACGAACGUUGGCGGCGUGCUUAACACAUGCAAGUCGAGCGGAAAGGCCCUUCGGGGUACUCGAGCGGCGAACGGGUGAGUAACACGUGAGCAACCUGCCCCUGGCUCUGGGAUAGCUCCGGGAAACCGGGAUUAAUACCGGAUAUGACCUGCUUACGCAUGUUUGCGGGUGGAAAGUUUUUCGGCUGGGGAUGGGCUCGCGGCCUAUCAGCUUGUUGGUGGGGUGAUGGCCUACCAAGGCGACGACGGGUAGCCGGCCUGAGAGGGCGGGCGGCCACACUGGGACUGAGACACGGCCCAGACUCCUACGGGAGGCAGCAGUGGGGAAUAUUGCGCAAUGGGCGGAAGCCUGACGCAGCGACGCCGCGUGGGGGAUGAAGGCCUUCGGGUUGUAAACCUCUUUCACCAGGGGCGAAGCGAAAGUGACGGUACCUGGAGAAGAAGCGCCGGCUAACUACGUGCCAGCAGCCGCGGUAAUACGUAGGGCGCAAGCGUUGUCCGGAAUUAUUGGGCGUAAAGAGCUCGUAGGCGGCCAGUUGCGUCUGCUGUGAAAUCCCGGGGCUUAACCCUGGGCGUGCAGUGGAUACGGGCUGGCUGGAGGCAGGCAGGGGAGAAUGGAAUUCCCGGUGUAGCGGUGAAAUGCGCAGAUAUCGGGAGGAACACCGGUGGCGAAGGCGGUUCUCUGGGCCUGUUCUGACGCUGAGGAGCGAAAGCGUGGGGAGCGAACAGGAUUAGAUACCCUGGUAGUCC